rnacentral:lncRNA from 1 species
CGCAGCCGUCACCGCAGACCCCGCAGCCGAUGCGGGCCGGGCCGUGGUGGAGGUGUCGGUGUCGGUGUCGGUGCCGAUGGCUGCGGGCGCUCAGCGCUCCCUCCAGCAGCAGCACCGGGACCUCCGGGCCUCCAUCCCCGCCGUCUCCGUGCUGCGACUCAAAGGCCCCGAUGACGGCGGUGUGCGGCUCCGUGGCGAUCACUCCGUCGCGGCUCCGCUGAGUCCCCGCGUGGUGCGGCUGCGCCUCCCCGGCAUCGCCCGCUUCGUCCUCAGCCCCGGCGGCCGCCGCGUAUUGCGCCGCGUCGAGAGGCGGCACCGCUGCGUGGUGCAGCCCCACGGAGUGCGGUGGGAGCCGCCCGACACGCAG